rnacentral:rRNA from 1 species
CCAUAAACUUUGGGAUUAUCCCCGCCCGAGUACUACGAGCCACAGCUUAAAACUCAAAGGACUUGGCGGUGCCCCACACCACCUAGAGGAGCCUGUUCUAUAAUUGAUAACCCCCAAUAAACCUCACCACCCCUUGCCACCACAGCCUAUAUACCACCGUCGCAAGCUCACCCAACAAAGGAAUGAUAGUGAGCUCAAUAACUUAAAGUUAAAAAGUCAGGUCAAGGUGCAGCACACGAAGUGGAAAGAAAUGGGCUACACUUUCUUAAAAGAAUACGAAAUAUAAAUGAAAUAAAAUAUGAAGAAGGAUUUAAUAGUAAAGAGAAAAAAGAGUGUUCUCUUUAAUCAGGCAAUGGGACAAGCACACACCGCCCGUCACCCUCUUCAAACACACAAUAGAUAAAUAAUGUAAAACAACCACAAGAAGGGGAAAGUCGUA